UCAGUAGUGAAGAGACUGUAAACAAGCAGAAGGGAGAAGAAGAAGGUCAGAGGCAGACAGAGAGGGAAGAAGAAGGGACUCGUGUGUCCGCUCUGGAUGGUAACAUCAAACCCAGGGAAGUGAUUAUACCCCUCUUUGAGACUAAAGACAUUGACAGAACAAAAGAAGAAGGUUUUGUCGAGGGCAAAAAUCAACGUUCAAGCUGCAGGUUUGGAGUUGAUCCAUGAUGCGGUCAUACCUCGCUCUGCUGCUCGGGAUUGUGGCAUCUGCUGCUUCAGCAGAAUGGAGGCGUCCAGUGAUCAAGUGGAACUCUAAGGUGGUGGCAGGCUCUGAGGUGGUGGUCCGAUUCGGGAGCCCUCUGGAUCUGAGGUGUGAGGGGGACCGGCCUGUAACCUGGCAAACGCGGUUACCAAAACACAGACGCUACAUUUCCAAGGACAAUGGGAACAUCCGCACAUUGAAGGUGGAACGUCCCACUGCAGAAUUCACCGGAACCUACAAAUGUGUUUACACCACUGGGUCACAGCAACUCACCUCCUCAGUGCAUGUGUAUGUAAAAGACCCAAACCGUGUGUUCUGGACUAGCAGCACGUCUGUGCAGGUGGUGAGGAAGGAAGGGGAGGACUACCUGCUGCCCUGCCUGCUGACAGAUCCCGCCGCCACAGACCUGGGCCUCCGCAUGGACAACGGCACCUCCGUGCCACCGGGGAUGAACUUUACAGUUUACCGGCACCGUGGUAUCCUCAUCCACCAGCUCCAUCCCAGCUACAAUACUGACUAUGUCUGCACAGCCAGGGUCAACGGCGUAGAGAAGACCUCCAAGGCCUUUUCUAUCAAUGUCAUUCAGAAGCUUCGUUACCCUCCAUAUGUCGUCUUGGAGACGGAUGAAAAUGUGCGCAUUGUUGGGGAGAAACUCAAGAUUUGCUGCACAACACACAACCCGAACUUCAACUACAACGUCACGUGGAAAUACACCACCAAGUCGAAACCCACCAUAGAGGAGAACGUUCGCUCCAAUGGAGAAAACCGCCUGGACAUAGAGAGCAUCCUGACCAUUGCUGCUGUGGACCUGGCAGACACCGGAAAUAUUACGUGCACUGGCACUAAUGAAGCAGGGGUGAACAGUUCAACCACAUACCUGCUGGUCGUAGACAAAGCCUACAUCAGGCUGUUGCCUCAGCUCUCCCCUAAACUGGCCCAUCAGGGGCUUUCACUGGAAGUGAACGAGGGCGAAGAUCUGGAGCUCACUGUGUUCAUCGAAGCGUACCCCCACAUUACGGCGCAUCGAUGGCUCACCCCAACAUCCCCCAACACCUCCACACAGGAGCAGAAGCUCAUCAGAUACAACAACAGAUACCAUGCUACUCUGCAGCUGAAGAGAAUGAAUGCUCAGGAGCAAGGGCAAUACAUAUUGUAUGCCCAGAGUGACUUGGCCAAUGCAUCCAUCAAAUUCCAAGUCCAGAUGUAUCAGAGACCUGUUGCUGUGGUUAGAUGGGAAAACAUAACCACCCUCACUUGCACCUCAUUUGGCUAUCCUGCUCCCAGAAUCAUCUGGUACCAGUGUUUCGGGAUAAGGCCUACGUGCAAUGAAAACACCUCAGGGCUGCAGCUGGCCAUCCCUCUCCAGGCCCCCACGGUGGAGGUCCAGAGGGAGGAGUUCGGGGCCGUGGAGGUGGAGAGCGUCCUCACCGUGGGCCGGUCCACCCGCAGGAUGACGGUCGAGUGUGUGGCUUUCAACCUUGUUGGCAUCAGCAGCGACACUUUUGCCAUGGAGGUUUCUGACAAACUAUUCUCUUCCACCUUAACUGGAUCAGCAGGAAUUCUGGCCAUCCUCCUUGUGCUUCUUGUUUUCCUAUUAUACAAAUAUAAGCAGAAACCCAGGUAUGAGAUCCGUUGGCAGAUCAUUGAGGCAAGAGAUGGAAACAACUACACCUUCAUUGACCCCACCCAGCUGCCCUACAAUGAGAAGUGGGAGUUCCCAAGAGACAAGCUGAAGUUAGGGAAGAUCCUGGGUGCAGGAGCUUUUGGAAAGGUCGUUGAGGCCACAGCCUACGGCCUGGGAAUGGAAGAGAAUGAGUUGCGUGUAGCUGUGAAAAUGUUAAAAGCGAGCGCCCACUCAGAUGAGAGGGAAGCUCUGAUGUCUGAACUGAAGAUAUUGAGCCACCUGGGACAUCACAAGAACAUCGUCAACCUACUGGGAGCCUGCACGUACGGAGGACCGGUGCUUGUGAUCACGGAGUACUGCAGCCUCGGCGACCUCCUGAACUUCCUUCGCCAAAAGGCAGAGAAGUUCGAGAACUUUGUAAUGAGUGUUCCUGACACUGCGGACGACUCUAAUGACUACAAGAACGUCUGCAGUGACAAAGAGUUCAUCAGAAGUGACAGUGGUAUCUCCAGUGCUUCUUCGAGCAGUUACUUAGAGAUGAGACCAACCACGGUGCAGAGUAUCGAAUCAUCUCCAGACUAUGUGUCUGAGGAGGCUGCUGACUGGCCCCUGGACAUUGACGACUUGCUGAGGUUUUCCUAUCAAGUGGCUCAGGGCCUUGACUUUCUAGCUGCCCAAAACUGUAUUCACAGAGACGUGGCUGCCAGGAAUGUCCUCUUGACCGACCGCAGAGAGGCUAAGAUUUGUGACUUUGGCCUGGCCCGUGACAUCAUGAAUGACUCCAACUAUGUGGUGAAAGGCAAUGCCCGUCUGCCAGUGAAGUGGAUGGCUCCAGAGAGCAUCUUUGACUGUGUCUACACCAUCCAGAGUGAUGUCUGGUCUUACGGCAUCCUCCUGUGGGAGAUCUUCUCAUUAGGCAAGAGCCCCUAUCCCAGUGUGGCUGUUGACUCCAGGUUCUACAAGAUGGUGAGGCGUGGCUACCAGAUGUGCCAACCAAACUUUGCCCCAGCUGAGAUAGGACCCUAACAUCUGUGUGUGCUGAUUUGGCGCGGCUGUCACACCACCGCGGAACAAGCGUGGAGAGGACUGAAUCUGAGUCAGAGCCUCCUCAUCUGUUGUUCUGCUGUUUGUCAGGCCUCAGUGCUGCCUGUUAGCCACAUGAUCUCAAAGCUAGGAAGCCAUAUAACUGCUAUUUCACGGCAGCGUACUGAGACUGGAGGGGAAGGGGUUCUUAUGAAGGAGUCUCUCUUAUCAAACUGCAUUACCACCUCCAUAAGCCUCUCUUUUUUUUGACUUUAUACAGCUUCCUGAUUUUACACCACAAAGUUUGAGAAAAGUCGAGUUAAGAAUAUAACCCCCUUAAAAUGUAUAGCUUAAAUGUUUUUUUGUCCUGGAAACUUCUCUAAAAAUAAAUCAGUUUUGUAAUACCGUUUUUUUUCCAGCUAUACAAUCAUGAAGAUGUGCUGGAAUGUGGAGCCGACAGAUCGUCCCACAUUUAGCAAGAUCAGUCAGAUGAUAGAGAGACUACUCGGGGAGCAGUCUGAGCGGGGAACAGCUAAUCUACCAGAAUGUGCCGCAGGAAGUCACAGAGGGUGAAGUGUGUGACGCGCCCAAGUCGUGCGACGGGCCCUGUGACCGGUCUUGUGACCACGAGGAAGAGGAGCAGCCUCUGAUGAAAACCAACAACUAUCAGUUUUGUUGAAAGCUAACCGCCAAUCAAUACGAAAAGAAAAAAAAAGCUCAUCAGCAAGCAUCAGGGACGUGGGAUCAGCUGUAGCCUGAUGCCAGGGUACCACAGCUUGUUCUAACCACCGGACAGUCGCAGAGAGUCAUAGCUAUUUUUUGCCUGUUUGCUGUUCGCCAGACAGACAAGCAGCAGCAGCAGCAAUCAUGUGACUUGCUUCUUUGCAGACCAUGACUACAAAUUGCCACGUCUAACACUGACUGAAGAAAUGAAAGGAGGAAACAUGUCAACUAACUGCACAAUUAUCCAAAGAUCCACCACAGACUCUUUAUUCCUACUUCUGAUGUGUAUUUGAGGUAUAAUCUGUUAUCAAAAGGAUAUCCGUUAGUCCUUUCCAGGGACGUAGCACAAAAUGAAGAACCCUUACAGUCCUUACGGGCCCCUAGCACAACCACAGCUAUUCAUUCUCAUAUUUUGUGUUGGCCUUCCUCAUGUGAGGGCCUUGUAUACUCAGUACCCUAUUUUCCCCAGUCCUACACCCCUGGUCAUUUUCCUCAGAGAGUGUUCCUAUUAUAUAUUGUACACUGUGUAUUUUUGUAUUACUGCCUUAUGAUAGUUUAUGCCUGGUUUUUGUGGAGAUAUCAGUCAGGUUCCCUUCCUUUUUACUAUGCUAUUGCAUGUAUGGUUUUUCAGAGGAAGAAACCCAGCGGUCACAUUAGAUCCACAAUAACAGCUGCUCAUCUUUAUAUGCUGUAGACACCUCAAAAGAACAUCUAAAUAGUGCGAGUGUUUAUCCCUGUUUUUAACGUGCAAAAUCAACUGUGGAGAAGCCAAAGAAUGGCCAUGUUGUUUUGCUCGCUGUGGUUUGGUCAUAGCUGUGUUUCUUGUUACAUACUUACAGCAGCUGUCAGUUGGUGGCAACAUGUGAUUCAUCCACCUCUAUCUAAUGAAUUAAGCAUUGUUAAGUGUGAUUUAGGAGCAGGGAAAUCCGUUCUGGAUCAGGUGAACAAUGUUUCAUGUUUGACAAUGUGAAAUAAUUUUUUGUUUUUUGUGCGGCACAACUUAUCCUCUCCGAUGUCUGUAUGUAGCGGACAGCCUUCACUGCCAACUGUUUGAAGAUAUUAGAUUAACGUAGAAGAUUUUAGGAUAACCUAUAAGCUAUGUGAGAUACAGACUGCAAAUGUGUGUGUCUUCAGGCAUUUCAAUUGUGCUUGCAUCUGAAUGAAACACGAGUGAGGUGUCUAAUAAUGUAUACAUCUCAUGAUGUAAAUCAAGAAUUAUCUAGAUUUUCGCUGGAAUGUUGUAGAGUAAAUAUUUCGGUACCACUUUACAAUAAGACUACCCUUAUAAAGGGUUUACGAAUAGUUUGUAAUUCAUUUAUUAAUUAGGUUGUGAACACUUUAUAAAUCAUUAAUAAGCUUUUACAAGACAUGAGAUAAACAGGGCAACUGUGACCGGUUUCUUGCCAAAUAGUGA